ACAUGCUUCUUUAUAUGCCCAUA
rnacentral:miRNA from 1 species